rnacentral:rRNA from 1 species
AUACGUAGGGUGCAAGCGUUAAUCGGAAUUACUGGGCGUAAAGCGUGCGCAGGCGGUUUUGUAAGACAGAGGUGAAAUCCCCGGGCUCAACCUGGGAACUGCCUUUGUGACUGCAAGGCUGGAGUGAGGCAGAGGGGGAUGGGAUUCCGCGUGUAGCAGUGGAAUGAGUAGAUAUGCGGAGGAAAACCGAUGGCGAAGGCAAUCCCCGGGGCCUGCACUGACGCUCAUGCACGAAAGCGUGGGGAGCAAACAGGAUUAGAUACCCUGGUAGUCCACGCCCUAAACGAUGUCAACUGGUUGUUGGGAAUUUAUUUUCUCAGUAACGAAGCUAACGCGUGAAGUUGACCGCCUGGGGAGUUCGGCCGCAAGGUUAAAACUUAAAGGAAUUGACGGGG